CAAGAGCGUAUAUUAAAGUUGUUGCAGUUAAAAGCUCGUAGUUGGAUUUCUGGUAUAAUGUGCCUGGCCCGCGGCGGUAACGCCUGUGAGUGCCGGUGCGCGUUUGCCAUCCUUCUAGAGAACGUUUCUACCCUUCACUGGGCCGGACUCGCGAUCUAGAUCUUUUACUUUGAAAAAUUAGAGUGUUUAAAGCAGGCUUUUGCUGUGAAUACAUUAGCAUGGAAUAAUGAUCUAGGACUUCGGUUCUAUUUUGUUGGUUUCUAGUACUGAAGUAAUGAUUGAUAGGGACAGUUGGGGGUGCUAGUAUUGGCCGGCCAGAGGUGAAAUUCUUGGAUUCGGUCAAGACUAACUUAUGCGAAAGCAUUCACCAAGGAUGUCUUCUUUAAUCAAGAACGAAAGUUGGGGGAUCGAAGACGAUCAGAUACCGU
rnacentral:rRNA from 1 species